GAGGGUAUAGCAUAAGUGGUGUAGAGCACAUGCCUAGCGUGUAGGAGGUCCUGGGUUCAAUCCCUAGCACCUUCU
rnacentral:tRNA from 1 species